AUGAACCAGAUGCGGGUGGGUGACAUCUUUGAAGUGAGGGAGAAGUUCUGUGUCUACAUUGAGGUGGAAGUGGUGCUCAACAUAAUCGCUUUUUUCAGCGGCUACGGCAGCCUCUUCGAAGUAGACCUCAAAAAUGGGUACGGCUUGGUGGAGUUCGAGGACCCCCGCGACGCCAACGAUACUGUUUGCGAGCUGAACGGCAAAGAGCUCUGUAGCGAGCGCGUGAUCGUGGUGGAGCACGCCCGGGAUCCACGUCGCGGUCGCGAUGGCUACAGCUAUGGAAGCGGCAGUGGUGGAAGUGGAUACAGCAGUCGGAGAACCUCUGGAAGAGACAAACUUGGACCACCUGUUCGUACAGAAUACAGACUUACUGUAGAAAAUCUUUCUAGUCGCUGCAGUUGGCAAGAUUUAAAGGAUUUCACGCGGCAAGAAGUCACCAAUGCAGAUGCUCACAAAGCAUGCACAAAUGAGGGUGUAAUUGAAUUUAGUUCCUACUCUGAUACGAAGCGUGCUUUGGAUAAGCUGGAUGGUACUGAAAUAAAUGGCAGAAAUAUUUGGCUUAUUGAAGGUAAACCAUGAACAAGCCACAGGUGGUCAUAUUCAGGAAGCAGAUCUAGGUCACGCUCUAGAAGGAAAUCUAGGUCCAAGAGCAAAUCUAAGCCCACGUCUGAUCGGGGCUCCCAUUCACACUCUCGAAGCAGAUCAAAAUCCAGAUCAAGGAGCCAGUCUCGUUCCCAUUCACCUGUACCUGUACCACACUCAAAGCCUCGGUCUGUAUUCCCUCCACCAAAAAAAGCUUCCAGAUCCCAUUCUAGAUCUCCUUCAAGGUCAAGGUCCAGAUCAAGUUCCAGAGAUUAAUCCAGAACUCUGUUCUUUGCACACUAUUAUGGAACACUUUCCUACUUGCUUAGGCAGUUACUCUUGCAUGUUUGUACUUGGCCUCUUCUGCAAGAGGAUCUGAGAAGAGUGGCAUACAAAAAUUUGAUUUGUGGCUAAAUUUGAUGAAAAACAUGAGGUUCUAAAAUGGUGACAUGAAGUUAAAGACCCUCUCCCUUCUUUGUGGAAUUAAGAUAACUUUGAUUUUAUAGUUUUUGAGCUAAAAUAACUUUUGUAAAGAUUAAGCUCACUUAGUUUUUUUUUUUUUUAAAUAUUUCAGCAGGAUCUGCUGCAGGGUUUGUUUUUGUUUUGUUUGCUUAUUUUUAAAUUAACUGUUUCAAGCUUUGGAUACUUAA